GACGAACCGUGCGAACGUUAUUCGGAAUCACUGGGCUUAAAGGGUGCGUAGGCUGCGAGGAGGGUGGGGUGUGAAAUCCCUCGGCCUAACCGAGGAAUUGCGCUCCAAACCGCCUUGCUGGAGUGAGACAGAGGUGAGCGGAACUAAUGGUGGAGCGGUGAAAUGCGUUGAUAGUACAUUAGGAACACCGAAGGCGAAGGCGGCUCACUGGCUCGAUACUGACGCUGAGGUGCGAAAGCGUGGGGAGCAAACAGG
rnacentral:rRNA from 1 species